CCUACGGGGCGCACCAGUGGGGAAUAUUGCACAAUGGGCGCAAGCCUGAUGCAGCCAUGCCGCGUGUAUGAAGAAGGCCCUAGGUUUGUAAAGUACUUUCAGUCGGGAGGAAGGCGUUGAUGCUAAUAUCAUCAACGAUUGACGUUACCGACAGAGGAAGCACCGGCUAACUCCGUGCCAGCAGCCGCGGUAAUACGGAGGGUGCAAGCGUUAAUCGGAAUUACUGGGCGUAAUGCGCACGCAGGCGGUUGAUUAAGUUAGAUGUGAAAUCCCCGGGCUUAACCUGGGAAUGGCAUCUAAGACUGGUCAGCUAGAGUCUUGUAGAGGGGGGUAGAAUUCCAUGUGUAGCGGUGAAAUGCGUAGAGAUGUGGAGGAAUACCAGUGGCGAAGGCGGCCCCCUGAACAAAGACUGACGCUCAGGUGCGAAAGCGUGGGGAGCAAACAGGAUUAGAUACCCCCGUAG
rnacentral:rRNA from 1 species